AAACUGCACAGAUUAAUUUGUCAUGUGGCAGCUAAAAUUGAUAUUUUACACUUUUAAUUUUUGUACGCAAACAAAGAUAUAUUUUUACAAGUUUUUAUACUCUAAGUCUAAAAUAAGGCUAAAUAAAAAGGGCAGAAGAGUAAUGUUAUAUAUUUCUAAAUUAAUGGUUGAUUUCAAAAUACAAAUAAAAAAUAAUUUGACUCUGAAUUUUCAAUAGUUAAAAACUUGACUGGCUACCAUUAUUAUUAUCAAGUCAAAUGAGAGUUUUCCAUAAAAUUGUCUAUGUUGUAAUUUAAGAGAUGUAUACCUACUAAACUCCCCUUUAAAACCGUCAUUACUUUUUUUGCAGAAUACUUUUCAUUGUAAUAAACAACUAACUUGCCCACAUUCUGCCGUCUUUAAACAUACUGUACAUGUACAGUAAUAACAUUUGAAUGUUUAAGUUUCUUUUUAUGAUACAGAGACUUUUUCAUUUUAUUGUGACUCCUAAAAUAUAGAGGUUGGAGAGAAAAUUAGCUGACGUUCUACUAAUUUAUCUUUUGAUAUUUAAUUACAUAACUUGAGUUAACAUUUGUUUUGAAAAGAAGGUGAGAACAGUUGGUCAUUGUCAAAAGGAAAAAUACGAGUUGGAAUUUUAAGUAAGUUAUUGUUUUAUGAGAUGGCACUUUGUAAAAAAGUUAAGAAUCAAAUUAUUUUUAAACUGGGAUGAGUGAACAAAGACCCUGGGAUGAGUGAACAAGACCUACUAUCUCAGAAAUAGUUGUACAAGAUAGAAAUGAUUAACUGUACAGUAACAGAAAAUAUGUAACCUUCUUUUAAAUUAAUUAUCUUUUAUUUCAAAAAGUUAAGAAAACAAUUCAAGUACAUAUUCCGUUAGAAAGGAUGUAAAUUCAGUUACAUGAAGAAUGAACUCGUCUAAAAAAAAGAUAAGUUAUAAAUUCUGUUAAAAAAUCACACCAACAUAUUUUUGGCAAGUAUUCAAAGUGGCAAGAAAUGAGUUGAGAAUAGAGUAGAUAAACUGUUUUAUCUAAACUAAUGGCACAGUAAAUAUUUGCGAGGUGAAGAGAAGCAGUCAUCCACCAGUCACCUUCACUGACUAGAGACACAUCUACCUCCAACCUCUGAACACGCCACAAGUAUCUGUUAGAUCUACAGACCAUCAGGCAAUUGCAACUGAAAAAAACUGUGUAUAGAAGAGACUAAUACUGACCAACAACUAAAAGAUCACUUCCGACCACCACCAACAAUGGCCGGAAAGACAGUUGCUUGAAAGGGCCUCUCAUUGCAAACUCCUCACUGACUACUUUGAGUUGACAAGACAUCGCUGAUCCAGGGCCUCCCCAACACUUGUAAUAAAGUAAUAAAAUCUGCUGACAGAUGUAUAUUCUGCUAUCGUUCCAGGCUUCACCCAUCACUGACCAGACAAGCUUGGAACGGAACGGAGAGAUCUGAACAUGAAACACGUAACACAGCAAGGCACUGGAGACUACUCACUCUAAACAACGCAACGUAACCAUCCGCUCACUGCAGACAACCCGGUACGAGCUACCCAGCUUGCUACGUGCAACGAGCUCACAUUUCCCCCACAGAACUCUGCAAUACUCAAGGUUCCAUUCAAAAUGUUUGUAUGAAUGAUGAACAUGAUCUCUUGAACCGUAUAAGUGCUACACACCAGAACCAAAACCAAAAGGAUGGGCGACAAUGUUCAAUAAUUUCAAGAAAAUAGAGCCCUUUAAUACUGAUCAGUUGAAGCCUGUUUUGUUGGAAAGACAGAAGACUGUUACAGCAGAUCAGCACACUCAAUAUGAUCCUUGCCAGAGAGACGUCUGCUGCCCCUAGGUGCCGCAGCACAUACUUUUGGGACCCUCUAGACUGUGGUAUUCUGUCUCAUAAGAUCUAAGUACAAAUAGGCCCCAUGGACAGUUUAAUCCAUCUGAAGUAAAAGAUUGGCUGCAAGUUUAAGACAAUUUAUUGUAAUUUACACCUAAUAACAAAUAUAUUGCAAAUUCAUAACAAUAGUACAUGACAUUAUAAAGUCAUUCUGUGAUUCACAAAUUACAUUGCUUUCUUAAAAACCAAUUACAUAACUAAUGAAACUGCAGUACCUUUUAAGAUGUUUAGUGCAAGUAGAAAUAGAUUUGAGCAACAUUACGUAAAAAUAGUAAUUAAAAUGUGUGGUACUUAUUGGUAAAAAAAUCCAAUACUCUGUGUUUCCUCCAUGUGGUACAAUGUAAUUCUUAAAUUAAUUAGAAUAUAUUUAUAUACAGGAUGAAAAACUAAAAGUCAAUAAACUAACAUGGAGUAUGAAA